rnacentral:lncRNA from 10 species
CGGGGAGGUGCAGGGACCUCCUGCCCCAGGCACAGAGCUCACGUUCUGAAUCACACGGGAAGGUAAAGCUCUGCUGAAGGAGCGCUCGGUCGGCACCUGCUGCGGGAAGCCUGCUCCGCCCCAGGUCACGGAGGCGGCCUCCUUCCUCCUAGAUGGGGAUCAGAGUAAAGCAGCAGAGUCUCACCUCGGGUGAGGGUCCUGUGGAGACAGCAGGGUGGGGACAGUUGGGCGCUGUGUGUGGGACCCUUGUGACGUGGGGUGAGGGUCCUGUGGCAGUAGCAGGGUGGGCUGUGUUCUCUGUGAGGACACUGGAGCUGCGACCCAGGCCUGGAUUGAUCCCGGCAGUCAGGAUUGUGGCUGCAAAGGCCCUGAGCUGUGGUCCAUCGGACCCUCCUCCCCGGCUUCCUCCCGGGACCCCUCCUCCACGGCAGUUGGUGGAGGAGGACACGGCCCGUCCCCUGGGUAGUUGGUGGAGGAGGAGGACACGGCCCGUCCCCUGGGUAGUUGGUGGAGGAGAAGGACACGGCCCGUCCCCUGGGCGGUUGAUGGAGCAGGACGCAGUGCGGUCGCUGACGCCGUUAACCGUUUCAGGCGGUGUUUUAGCAUCACGGGAUGAGAUCACACGUCCACCUCGCAGGCUGUGUAGAAACUGAAGCAGGAGACUUUUGAGUGCGUGUUCUGGGGCCUGUGGACGUACUGGGUGAGGGGAGAGCUGAUGCUGAGUGGGGCCAAGAGCCCGUGGGCGCGGGCGAGGGGCUGGGUGAGGGGCUGAGGCGUGUCCACAGCAGUACCCGGCGGUCGGCCCCUUCGCCCGGCUGUGCGGUUGCCUGCCCUGCCUGUGCCUCUCCGGACGUGAGUCGCCCGGGCUCCAGGGGCAGGGCUGCCUGUGGACGGCACCUGGGCCUCUCCACGUCUGAGCCCUCAGACGUCUGGGGUGCGGCUGCCCGUGUCCCCGGGGCCCUGCCGGGUGUGGUGGGGUCCGUGCUGUGGCCCAUGGGAGUCGGGAGUGGGUCCUGGCUGGGCUCUCAGACGUCUGGGGCACGCAGCUGCCCGUGUCCCCGGGGCCCUGUGGGGUGUGGCGGGGGCUCAGUGGUGCAGAGCAGCCACCCAGCGUGGGGUCCGUGGCAGCGUCCUGUGUCCUCCUGGGCGGAGGUGGCCCCUGCAGUGCAGUACCCGUGUGGUCCCCGACAGGGACUGCGGCGUGUCCUCUCCCGGCCGGGGUCAGGCGGCCUCGGCACCGUCGGCCCCGGAGAGGCCCCUCGUGUUGUCCGGGUGGAGAAGGCGUUCGAUGCUCCCGGGUUGUAACCGAGCGCUGUCUGUCACUCUUCAGGUUCAGACGCGGAAAGAAGAGCGUCUGCCCCCGGCCAGCAGCCAAAGCAUUCCGACCUUCUACUUCCCCAGAGGACGCCCGCAGGACUCGCUCAACGUGGAUGCCGCCAUCAGCAAGAUCGAGAGCGCCUUCGCCCGCCUCCCCCACGAGAGAGCCACCAUGGACGACAUGGGCCUGGUGGCCAAGGUGCGUGUCCCCCGUGUGACGUGGAGCAGCCGAGGUGGUACUGCGGGCGUGAGAGGGUGAGGCGGGGCGGCCGGGGCAGGUGCGUGUCACACGCGUGAGAGUGAGGUGGGGCGGCCGAGGCAGGUGCAUGUCACACGCGUGAGAGUGAGGUGGGGCGGCCGAGACAGGCGCAUGUCACAUGCAUGAGAGUGAGGCGGGGCGGCCGGGGCAGGUGCAUGUCACACGCGUGAGAGUGAGGUGGGGCGGCCGAGGCAGGCGCAUGUCACAUGCGUGAGAGUGAGAGUGAGGUGGGGCGGCCGAGGCAGGUGCAUGUCACACGCGUGAGAGUGAGGUGGGGCGGCCGGGGCAGGUGCGUGUCACACGCGUGAGAGUGAGGAGGUGGGGCGGCCGAGGCAGGUGCGUGUCACACGCGUGAGAGUGAGGUGGGGCGGCCGAGGCAGGUGCCACCGGCGUGUGAGGGUGAGGUGGAGAGGCUGGAGCGGCCGAGGUGGGUGUGUGUCACACGGGCAUGAAUGAGGCCAGCGGCCGAGGCGGGUGCGUGUCACGUGUGCGGGAGUGGCCCAGGUUUCCUCUGAGGUUACAGUUGUGGCCUGAGGUUUGCUGUCUGGUCGCUGCUGUGUGAAUUCUUAAGCAUCUGAAACUCAAGUGGGAAUUCCGUCUGCAUUCUCGUCCUGAGGCCGUUCAGCACCCUUCUGGCCGUGCCCCUUUCUGCCCGAGGAGCCGCCGUCCCAGGCUGGGCGGCUGUGGACCCCUGUCCCCCGGCAGUGGCCCCGAGGGCCCAUUUCUGGACUCACCCUGAGUGCUGCGGCGCCAUGUUCGUCAUUUGCCGCCUGCUUUCCUUCUCAGCUGCCUGCUUUCCAGGCUGCCUGCGUGGACGUCCGCAGAUCGGGCACGCUCGGUUUAGUGUCUGUGUGUUACCAAGGCAAGGCUCACUCCAGGGAUGUGCGUCUGGACCCCUGGUGGGCGAUUGUGUUUCCAGGGACCCGGGCCCACCUCUCCAGCGUC